CGAAGAAGAACAACUUCCGGCAGCGCUUGAAGUUAGCAUAACAAAAACACAGGAAUGGCUAAACUUCCUAAAAGGCGAUAUUCAUCUGUAUCCCAAAGAGCCGCUACCGACAAGAAACCACGUUCAACGGCCAAGAAAAGAAGCAACACGAGUAACGAGUUACGAUGUCAAUGUGGGUUUCCACCGCUGGAGAAGCUCCUGAGGGUAAAGAGAUGCGGUUUGAUGCCGAGCUUGCAACUUUCCAGUUAGCUUGGACCUGAGCCAGUACAGGUGCAAUACCGCCUCCACCUGUCUCACCAGCGGCAGAGAGUCCAGACAGUGUCUAGGUCCAGAAGUCCAGUCUACUCACCAACAAUGAUGGACCAGCACCUGCCUGUUCUUCUGCAUCUGGCCUCAUUAAUCAUCAACCACAUUACAUCAACACCUUGAGGGACGGCAGAACCACACCUUGCCCAGCAAGAAAUGGAUGGUGGCUGGAUUGAUGACGCCGCAUCUUAGAGGUGGACCCCCGGAGGUGCUCGUUGUCACAUUGAGCCAUAGCGGUCCUCACUGGAGGGGAAGCACAGGAUGUUCGGCCUGACUGUUGCCAAGGUGAUCCAGAGGAUCUCCUGGGAGGAGUGGAGGCUCCACUGUUGGAGGACGACACAUGGGGCGGAGGAGACGCUCCUCCUCAUCCAGGAUCUCCACGUCACCCUGGACGUCUCUUUGCUGGAUUCUCUCUGCAGGACAUAUGGAGACACAGAGGACCCAGCAGGUGCAGCUGUACAGAGACUGGUAGACUGACAAAGGGCGGGGUCAGCCUUCUGGUUUCCACCAGUUCAUCCCAGCCAGUGCCAAGUACUUCCAAGCUCCUGACAACACCUGCCUGACUGAGUUGUCUUCCCUCCCAGAGACCAGGAGAGGCAGCCCAGGUGACAGUUCAAGGCAGCGACGGGGAAGAACACCUCCUGUCCUGUGAAGGAGAGUCUCCAGAGGUGAGAUUCACUUCAGAUAUCACUGUUUCCUCUAAUGAAUAUCAGAUCUAUAUUUACACACACUGCUCUCUGAUUAUCUUUCAGCUGUCUUCUUGGACUGAACUCGGGCUCUGCAAACUGGGCCGGUGUUAGCUGAUGGAAUCUGGUGGCCACAGCACAUUAAUUGGUCAUUGUCAAAUUUGUUCUGUUUUCUUUUAUGGUACAUGGUGCACAAACACACAGACUAGUGAAGUCCAGGCAGGAAGACAACAGCAAGAAUUGCCUGAGUUCAGUUUCAACCCUGGUUCUUUCUUGCAGUGUUGCAUGUUCUCCUUGUGUUUCCUCCAGGGACUCUGAUUACUACAACAAAGACAUGACAUUUAAUUAACUGAGGACUCUAAAUUGUCCAUAGGUUUGAGUGUG